AUUGAACGCUGGCGGCAUGCUUUACACAUGCAAGUCGAGCGGAGUGGCGGACGGGUGAGUAAUGUAUCGGAACCUGCCCGAUAGCGGGGGAUAACUCCUGGCAAGGGUGGCUAAUACCGCAUACUAUUGGAUCGGCCGAUAUCGGAUUAGCUAGUUGGUGGGGUAAAGGCUCACCAAGGCAACGAUCCCUAGCUGGUCUGAGAGGACGACCAGCCACACUGGGACUGAGACACGGCCCAGACUCCUACGGGAGGCAGCAGUGGGGAAUGUUGGAAAAUGGGGGAAAGCCUGAUCCAGCCAUGCCGCGUGUAUGAUGAAGGCCUUCGGGUUGUAAAGUACUUUCGGCAGAGAAGCGUUAUCUGCAGAAUAAGCACCGGCUAACUCCGUGCCAGCAGCCGCGGUAAUAC
rnacentral:rRNA from 1 species